CCCUUAGAUGUUCUGGGCCGCACGCGCGCUACACUGAUGCAUUCAACGAGUCUAAAACCUGGUCUGAUAGGGCUGGGUAAUCUUUUGAAAGUGCAUCGUGAUUGGGAUAGAUGAUUGCAAUUCUUCAUCUUCAACGAGGAAUGCCUAGUAAACGCAAGUCAACAGCUUGCGUUGAUUACGUCCCUGCCCUUUGUACACACCGCCCGUCGCUACUACUGAUUGGAUGUUUAAGCGAGGUUCUCGAACUGCUAGCGACUUAGCUUCGGUGAGGUCGCAGUGUGGGAAGUGAACCUAGCUUUGGUGUCUAGAGGAAGUAAAAGUCGUAACA
rnacentral:rRNA from 1 species